GAGCUUGGCGGCAGCCUACACAUGCAGUCGAACGGUAGCACAGAGAGCUUGCUCUCGGGUGACGAGUGGCGGACGGGUGAGUAAUGUCUGGGAAACUGCCUGAUGGAGGGGGAUAACUACUGGAAACGGUAGCUAAUACCGCAUAACGUCGCAAGACCAAAGAGGGGGACCUUCGGGCCUCUUGCCAUCAGAUGUGCCCAGAUGGGAUUAGCUAGUAGGUGGGGUAACGGCUCACCUAGGCGACGAUCCCUAGCUGGUCUGAGAGGAUGACCAGCCACACUGGAACUGAGACACGGUCCAGACUCCUACGGGAGGCAGCAGUGGGGAAUAUUGCACAAUGGGCGCAAGCCUGAUGCAGCCAUGCCGCGUGUAUGAAGAAGGCCUUCGGGUUGUAAAGUACUUUCAGCGGGGAGGAAGGUGUUGAGGUUAAUAACCUUGUCGAUUGACGUUACCCGCAGAAGAAGCACCGGCUAACUCCGUGCCAGCAGCCGCGGUAAUACGGAGGGUGCAAGCGUUAAUCGGAAUUACUGGGCGUAAAGCGCACGCAGGCGGUCUGUCAAGUCGGAUGUGAAAUCCCCGGGCUCAACCUGGGAACUGCAUUCGAAACUGGCAGGCUAGAGUCUUGUAUAGGGGGGUAGAAUUCCACGUGUGGCGGUGAAUGCGUAGAGAUCUGGAGGAGACCGGUGGCGAAGCGGCCCCC
rnacentral:rRNA from 1 species